rnacentral:lncRNA from 1 species
GUGACGGGGAAGAGAGGGACACAUCCUUUCACGAGUUGCUUCUUGGACCCUGACUUUGUUGCAGGUUGCCGAGCGUGCUGCUGUUGCCACUGCUCUCACUUCUCUUUUCAGUCCUUGGAGAACUCUGUCCUGUUUUCUUCCUUUUCUUUUUCAGGAAGAAUCCCCAGCACAGGAUGGAAUAUAGGCACAGUGCACUUCCGGCCAGGGUUGCUGUGGAUGAAGAUGACGAUGAUGUUGGGCAACCGAGUGACAGUGACAAGGAUGAGGAAGACUAUGCGCCGACAGAUGAAGAUUCUGACUGGCAACCAGGAAAGGAUGAUGAGGAGAAGGAAGAUGUGGAUGAGCUUUUGAAAGAAGCAAAGCGGUUCAUGAGAAGGAAAACGUAGCUUUUCUGCAACGACGGAACACACACUCACAUUUGCUUUUCUCCGUGGGAAACAUAGUCGCUUCCCUCUUCCACUAGUUCUCUGCACUUGAAGCCUUGGAACACCGGCCUUCAGUGAAGGUGGGGAGUGAAUGCCGGCUGCUGCCUGUUUUAGUGUCUAUUAUGCACCCGUCAUUGGAAGCGGGUGGAGUUGGGCAGACUGAUCUUUGUCAUAUCCUUUACAUACUGCUAAUAAAAAGCCAGAGGUUGCACAAACCUUUGGUCUUCUGCCCAGAGGUCUUUAUAGUUUACCCUGCGAGCUUAGCCAGGCGAUUGCAGAGGAGUGGGAGAGCCUAGCCCCACACUGCUGUUGAAAGAGUCCCUCACAAAGCUGGACUUGAACAAAUGACAGCCAGCAGUGUGCUAUGUCUGUAAUGUAUUAGAUGUGGCUGUGUGAUUUCAUUUACAGCAUUUGUCCUUUGAAUCCUGGGAAAACAAAUGGAUGCUGAGAAUGAUCCUAUUAGCUCCAGGGCAGCGUUCCUGGCCUUGCAAGGAAAUGGGCUUUGUGCAUCCACGACUGCAUAUGUGUGUCUGCGAGAGAACAAAGCACACGGCUACGGAACACUUCGGUUCCUCUCCCGAUUACUUUGCCUGCACUGCGCACCUUUACACUGAGGAUGCAGAGAAGGUUCUAGCCACAGUCUCCUUUUCAUUCUUCAAGAGGAAAUAAAAUGUGCAUCUUAGAACAGGAGGUGUUGCAUAUGUUUCCUUAGUACUUAUGGGUCUCUAUGUACUUGUACAAUGUUAACAUUUACUUAACCUGAAGACAGACAGAAUAAAUAUUUCUCUGUUAUCAUUAC